CCUGGGAAAAUCCAGAGGAAAUUGCAAGUGUGCAAGGCCUGGUUCCUUCCCAAAAAACCCCCUGGAUUGAGGCAAAGCUUCAUCUUCCAUGGCACAGACCAGGAAGGUUUCCAGGUGCCUUCAGAGCUUGGGGUUUUGUAUUUCAUUCUCUCUUUCCUCUCAUCCCAGAGAAACGAGGGGAAGGGGACGAGGAUGGAUCCGUGUUCGCAGCAGGAUUUGUGGACAGCUGAUAUCCUCAAGAUUCCCUUUUCCCACUACAAGGGAAACGAAUGGAUCUGGAAGAAGUUACUGGGUGUUGGCAGGAGUGGGAAGAGAUUUCAGGUCCAGCAGGAAUGCAGACACACAUCAAGGAAGAAAAGGUUCAUGAGCCUACAAAGCAAGGAAUGGGCUCGAGCUUAAAAUUUCUGGGAGACAAAGACUGAGGGAAGAGGAGAUUCAAUUUCCAGCUUGGCAUCAGGAGAACACAGAGGAGACCAGGAAACGUGUGAUGGAAACGGGAAAAGCAACGUUCCAGCCAUGGAAA